rnacentral:rRNA from 1 species
UGAACGCUAGCGACAGGCCUAACACAUGCAAGUCGAGGGGCAGCACAAGGAGCAAUCUGAGGUGGCGACCGGCGCACGGGUGAGUAACACGUAUGCAACCUGCCUGUAAGCGGGGAAUAACCCGUUGAAAGACGGACUAAUACCGCAUAAUACUAAAUUACUGCAUGGUAAUUUAUUUAAACAUUUAUGGCUUACAGAUGGGCAUGCGCAUGAUUAGCUAGUUGGAGAGGUAACGGCUCCCCAAGGCAACGAUCAUUAGGGGUUCUGAGAGGAAGGUCCCCCACACUGGUACUGAGACACGGACCAGACUCCUACGGGAGGCAGCAGUGAGGAAUAUUGGUCAAUGGACGAGAGUCUGAACCAGCCAAGUCGCGUGCAGGAAGAAUGUUCCCUAUGGAUUGUAAACUGCUUUUGCAGGGGAAUAAAGUGCAUCACGUGUGAUGUUUUGUAUGUACUCUGCGAAUAAGGAUCGGCUAACUCCGUGCCAGCCGCUGC